AUUGAACGCUGGCGGCAGGCCUAACACAUGCAAGUCGAGCGGCAGCGCGGGGGCAACCCUGGCGGCGAGCGGCGAACGGGUGAGUAAUACAUGGGAAUCUGCCUGGUAGUGGGGGAUAACUCUGGGAAACUAGAGGUAAUACCGCAUACGUCCUACGGGAGAAAGGGGGGGAUCUUCGGACCUCUCGCUAUCAGAGGAGCCCAUGUCCGAUUAGCUAGUUGGUGAGGUAAAGGCUCACCAAGGCGACGAUCGGUAACUGGUCUGAGAGGAUGGUCAGUCACACUGGAACUGAGACACGGUCCAGACUCCUACGGGAGGCAGCAGUGGGGGAAUAUUGGACAAUGGGGGCAACCCUGAUCCAGCCAUGCCGCGUGUGUGAAGAAGGCCUGGUGUAAGACACUUAAGUUAGGGGAGGGAAGGACGUCGUACGUGAAUAUACGUGCGGGAGGUGACGUUA
rnacentral:rRNA from 1 species